rnacentral:ribozyme from 11 species
GGUGCAUUCAUUGUUUUUUUUUUUUCUUUCUUUCUUUCUUUCUU